CGUGGCCUGAACAGAGACCGCUAUAGCACUGGCAUGGCCACAAGGUGGCGUACACCUCACACAGCAAGCGUGAAGGCGGCUGCUCUCACUUCUGAGCUACGUGUGUGUGCCAGUCCCCACCCUGUGAUGUGAGAGGGAGGAGGGGAGGGAGCAGCAGGUUAGGAGUCACCAUCAUCACAGCACAGAGAGAGGGAGCUGCUGCUGAUACUACUCACGGGAGCAGCGGCGGCCACUCCUCCUCCUCCACCAAGGACACAUCCACUCAUUGGGAAGCAGAAGACAUCAUCCCUGCACAGACAAUAGCCGCCGGCUCCCUCCCUGUGGGCUGAGGCUGCCGGGAAGGAGCUGCAGUGAGGAAGUUGAAUUUUUUUUUUUUGUAUCUUUCUGCUCUGCCAUUGUUAUUACCAUCACUGCUGCUGCUGUCACCGCCGGAUCUCACACAGGGGGGCAGGGAAACAUGUGCAGUUGCCCCCCCUCAGCAUGCCAGCCGCUGCCCGCUGUACGAAGGGGAUGCAGCCAGGCCAGGCAUAAGACGGUGGGCAUCGCUGCCAGCUACCCCGGCUGCUGCCCGGAUCUCUCUGCUGCUGCUCCAGCCUCCUUCUCCUCCCCUCCGCGGCACUGCCCCCUGCUGCCUCCCCAACCCUGAGGCGGUGUCACCGGCUGCAGCAGCACAUCGGGGACAUCAUGUAACAGGCGCUGCCGGCGUUAUGUAUGCGCCCCCCUCCUGCAGCCGGCUGACGGAGCGCUGACCCCGGCCCCGACCAUGCCGCUGUCCCGGCGCUGACCUCCCACCCCCCUGACAAUGAUGAUGAUGGCAGCACAGGACGCCUGCGGCAGCAGCGCCAGCUGUGACCUGAGGACCGCCCGGCUAUGGAGGGACGCAGCCCUGCGCUCCAGGAAACUGCGGAGCAGCCUGCGCCAGCUGACACUGAGCUGCGGGGAGCAGAACAAGCUCAUCCUGCCCGAGGACCUGGGGGACGUGGAGGUGCUGAACCUGGGCAACAACUCCCUGGAGGAGGUGCCGGACGGGCUGCAGAGCCUGGGUGCGGGCAACCUGCACGUCCUCAUCCUGCGCAGGAACAAGUUCCUCAGCGUGCCCUCGGCCGUGUACGAGCUGGGCCGCCUGACCGAGCUGGACAUGAGCCACAACCAGCUGAGCUGUCUGACCGAGGCGGUUGGGCUGCUGGGCCAGCUGCGGAAGCUCUGCCUGAGCCACAACAAGCUGCAGACCUUGCCCCGGCAGAUCGGCUCCCUGCUGCAGCUGGAGGAACUGGACGUCAGCUUCAACCGCAUCAGCCACCUGCCGGACACCGUGCAGGCGCUGCCCCGCCUCCGAGCCCUGGACCUGGACCACAACGAGCUGCGCAGCUUCCCCCAACAGCUGCUGCACCUGCCCGGCCUGGAGGAGCUGGACUUCUCCGGCAACAAGAUGCUGGGCAGCAGCUGCGGCGGCUCCCUCCCCGACGGCAUCCGGGCCAUGAGCUCCCUGAAGGUGCUGUGGCUGAGCAGCACAGGCCUCUGCUCCCUGCCCGACUCCUUCUGUCAGCUCAGCAACCUGGAGAGCCUCAUGCUGGACAACAACCGCCUGUGCUCGCUGGCUGACGGCUUCGGCUCCCUGCAGAAGCUGAGGAUGAUCAACUUGUCCUCCAACUCCUUCCAGGAAUUCCCCGGGAUCCUGCUGCAGCUGCGGGAGCUGGAGGAGCUCUACAUGAGCAGGAACAGGCUGACCGUAGUGCCAGAAGGAAUCUGCAGCCUCCUCAGGCUGGUGACUUUGUGGCUGGACAACAACAGGAUCAGGUACCUGCCAGACACCAUUGUGAAGCUCGGCUUACUGGAGGAGCUGGUCUUGCAGGGCAACCAAAUAGCAAUUCUCCCUGAUGACUUUGGUAAGCUCUCCAAAGUUAAAAUCUGGAAGAUCAAAGACAACCCCCUGAUUCAGCCCCCUUAUGAGGUGUGUAUGAAAGGCAUCCCUUACAUUGCUGCUUAUCAGAAGGAACUUGCCCAUUCACAGCCAGCAGUAAAGCCAAGGUUAAAACUAGUCCUCUCUGGGCUGAAGAAUGCUGGCAAAACUGUGCUGAGACAUUGCCUGACCGACGGUCACCAAACCAGUCGGAUACUGGUAAAUACAGGGAUUGAGGUCACUAACUGGACUGCUGAUGCGGAGCGAGGACUUAUCUUUAUCGUUUAUGAUUUAGCUGGGGACCAGAGCUAUGACAUAAUCAACCCUUUCUUUCUCUCCCCUGGUGCUCUCUAUAUCUUAGUAGUUAAUUUAAAGUCCUACGUUUCUAAGCAUUUUUAUACAUCUGUAGGGUAUUUUCUACAUUUUAUCAGUGCCAAGGUACCACAUGCAGUUGUUUGCAUAGUAGGGACUCAUGCAGAUUUAUGUGAGGGGAUGGAGAUGGAGGAGAAAUGCCUUGAUAUACACCAACAGAUAUCACAGCAGGAGAAGAAGGAUUCAGAGACACUACAAAAUUUGGCACAGACUGUUGAUGAAGCUCUCAGCCAAGACUACGACAUGCGUUCCUCAAACCCUCAUGCAGCUUUUUAUGGUGUUAAUGACAAGAAUUUGAGAAGAAGAAAAGCCCAGUUCCAAUAUUUAAUGAACAACCGUCUUCAGAUUCUCUCACCUGUGCUUUGUGUUAGCUGCAACGAUUAUUCGAACAUUAGGCGCUUGAGGGAAAAGCUGCUUUCUGUGGCCGAACACAGAGAGAUUUUCCCAAACUUACAUAGAGUUCUUCCUAAAUCUUGGCAAAUGCUGGAGGAAUUGCACUUUAAACCUCAGGAGCUGUGGCUGACCUGGUGGGAUUCGGCAAGACUAGGCCUACAGGCAGGGCUAACCGAGGACAGGCUGCAGAGUGCCCUGUCUUAUUUACAUGAGAGUGGCAAGCUGCUUUAUUUUGAAGACAAUGUGACUCUUAAAGAGUACGUUUUCCAUAAUCUGACAAAACUGAUUGACAUUUUGAAUGUUUUUUUCCAGAGGGAUGCCUCUGUCCUACUGCAGAAACUUAUGAGUGACAGUAAGGUAGAUGAGCUGAGGGCCACACAGUUGCAUCAUUAUGUGGAAGGGUUCCUUCUUCAUGGACUAUUGCCCACUCAUGUGAUUAAAUUGCUUCUCAAACCACAUAUCAAAACACAACAAGACUUGCAGCUCAUCCUUGAACUCUUGGAAAAAAUGGGUCUCUGUUAUUGUAUAAAUAAACCAAAAUCUAAACCCUUGAAUGGAGCAACUGCCUGGUAUAAGUUUCCAUGUUAUGUAAAGAAUGAGGUACCACAUGCUGAGGCUUGGAUCAAUGGUACAAAUCUAUCAGGACAAUCUUUAGCGGUUGAACAGCUUCAGAUAGAAUACAGCUUUCCGUUUAUAUUCCCGCCUGGCUUGUUUGCCCGCUUUAGUGUCCAGAUUAACAGUCACAUAGUUCAUCGCUCAGAUGGUAAAUUUCAGAUCUUUGCAUACAGGGGAAAAGUGCCAGUUGUAGUGAGCUUUCGACCUUCAAAAGGAGCCUUACAGCCAGACAUUUUAUCUAUUGCCAGCCAUGCCUCACUGCCUAACAUAUGGACUGCAUGGCAGGCAAUAACACCCUUGGUUGAAGAACUGAAUGCACUAUUACAAGAGUGGCCAGGCCUUUACUACACAGUACAUGUUCUUUGUUCCAAGUGCCUUAAGAGGGGAUCACCCAACCCACACACCUUUCCAGGUGAAUUACUUACUCAGCCAAGGCCAGAAGGGAUAACUGAAAUAAUCUGUCCUAAAAAUGGCAGUGAGAAAGUGAACGUAGCCCUGGUUUAUCCCCCUACCCCCACAGUGAUCAGCCCCUGCUCAAAGUGAUCUCCCAAUAUCCCGCUUCUUUGCUGCAGUAUUCCUGAGCUAAGUGACGACAGAAAGGAGUGAGCAUUUGACAAUUUAGACAAUCGCCCAAAUAAUUAUUUAAAAAAGGACUGUGGCCUUGUGGUAUUUGGAAUGCAGCUAAGGCACAACUCAUUAACUGGGAGGCACCAAUUUCCCUUCAGAGCUUUAAGGAAACAUGAAGAAUUUAUCAAUUCAUUGCUGCAUGGGGUUCAUGGGGAGAGAAUGGGUGCAUUGCAUCCUUGGACAAGUAAACCGUGACCUUUUGUGCUAAAAGACUUUUAUUUCUUUCAUUUUUUUUUUUUAACUUGAGUUUUUAUGGACAAUAAAGUUUGUUGUUGGUAUUGGGUAUAUGUUAUCUCCACUAUAAAGGUAUCAAUGAACUGUUAUAUAUCACAAAAGAAUUGUGGGAAUUAAACAAAUGACUAUGUUAAUGGCUUCUCAGGGAUUUUGCUUGCCAUGCACAUAUAAGCCAUAAUAUAUAAAUGAUGGUAGUGUUGUGAAAGUAUGCUCCGUAAAUGUUAAAAACGUACACAGAAAAACACAAGUCCUUUAACUUAAGCAAAAUGAUCAGCAUUUUGUUGUUAAAUGUUUAGAAUCAAAGGCACAUAAAUGUUUCUACAUUUCACAAACCCUGUCCCAGCAGUAGUGAGAAUCAGCAUGGGCACAGGUAUAUGUUUUUGUAAGAACUUUUGUAGCAGCAUAUACACUCUGAUAUUACUGGAUUUUCAACUGUAUUGUAAAACAGGUGAUACUAAUUAAAAUUCUUUAAAGGUAGCCAACUACAAACCUGCAUUGGGAUAUAUUUGGUAGACACCUGAAUCAGUACUACAUAUACAACAUAACCACCUGUUUCAGUGGUUUGCGUACAAUAUCUGUUUUCAAAUAAUUUCUUACUGUAAAGAAAUAGUAUAAUUACAUAGACAAAUAUAUUUCAUGGUAUUUAAAACACACUCAGGGCCGGAUUAUGGCUUUUGGCGGCUAUGGGGCAAUGAAGUUGUGGGGGCCCCCACUAAUAAAAAUGAUUGAAAAUCCUAAGUAAACCCCUGCUCCCCCUUCUUCCCCCACGAAAACACACACACUGGACGCGCGCGCACACUGGACACUCCAACACACACACUGGACGCAACGUCUCACCAGGACGUUGCAGCAAGUACAACAACAGACGCUUCCGGGUCAAUGUCCGUGACUUGCAGGAUUUUACCACACUAUCACGCCAGACUAACACAACACAGAGUAGCUCCCCGCCGGCCGCUGUUAAUAAACAGUUGAUCGCCUGAGGGGACUACUCCACUUCACACACCACUGUUUGUGUGUGUGUGGACCCCUAAAGUGUGGGAGACCUGGGAUGACAGCCCCUGUCGCCCCUCCCUUAAUCUGUCCCUGAGCACACUACUCCCCUUGUAAACUUGUGAGCAGUACUGUAGCCUGUCACAGUAACAGAUUAGUGUUUGGCUUUCUUAGUCCUGUCUGCCAUCCUCACGCAGCAAUAGUAAAUAGUCAAAUUGAGGAUAUUUUGAGGGCUGCUGAACCUAAGUUGCCUUAUAUAAAAGAUGUGACAUAUAAUAUAUGUGAUGAUUUCAGAAGCUUUAUGGGAAGUAGAAAUAUUUUAAAUAAAGUUCUAUCAUAGAUUGCAUUUAGUUGUAUAGCACACACACAUACAAUGAAAAACAUCUGAAAUAUUCUCACAGUAUAGAACCGCUUACAUACGUGCUAGUGUUAUUGCCUGCCUUGCUAUAUCAGAUAUGCUUUUGGAUAUAUAUAUAUAUAUAUAUAUAUAUAUAUAUAUAGUGGCCCUUUCAAUUUAGUUAUACGUUGGGGAAAAUUGAGAGAUCCUCAGUAAAGUGGGUUAAACGGCUGUCAGCAUAUUAGUGGUACACUUGUCAAUUCUUAUGGAAUAAAUACUUCAUCUUAUUACAGUGAGUGUAGAGCUCUCAUUUUUCUGCAAAAGAGGAAAGUGUGGGUUAUUUUUAUAGUUAUGGAUCCUGCACCAAUAAUGUCAUAUACCUAAGUGUGCUGCUUGCUUACACCCGGAUAGUCAAUGAAAUUACUUUACUGUUGCAAUUUCAUUAAUAUUAGAAUUUAGAAUGCAUAUGCAUAUUUUUUUGGUUACUCUCUCACCUUUGUCAAAACAGUGAACCCAACAUACUGCUAAGGGAAGACAAUCACAGCAGGAUAUUGAAUAUGCUGAAACCAAUUUAUUUAAUUGUGUAAUGAAACCAACAGCAGUUUAAAUAACAUAUUAAACUUUCUUAUUUUGCAUUUUA